rnacentral:lncRNA from 1 species
GAGACUGGGGGAUGUGGCCACAAGCCAAAGAACACCUGGACUCCCCAGAAGCUGAAAGAGACAAGGAAGGGUCCUCCCCUAGAGCACUGGAGGGAGAGGGCCCUGCCGACACCUUGACAUUGGUCUCUGCCUCCAGAACUGUGAGGGGAGACACUUCUGUUGUUCAAGCCCCAGCUGGUGGCUUUGAACCCUUUGUGAGAGCAGCCCCAGGACACCAGCACAAAGGGUGAGCAUGUAGGAGGCCAGUGUGGUGACCUGCGCAUCCUGUGGUCCCUCCCUCCGGCGCCCAACGCAUCCUCAGGACUAGCCGGGGCCUGGGGACCGGACAGGGAGCAACUGGCAGCAGAGGGUGAUGACAGAGCCUGCAUUCCGGAAUCUGACCCACAAAGGGCUGUGGCAUUCAUAGGAGAAGCCACGGAAGACCGGCAGGAAUGACAGAAGCAGCAGCGAGAGCCCUUCAGAGGACCGCGAAACGCGAACUCCCACCCCAGCAAACCACCAAGGGGAAGAGGCGGGCCCCCAUCCAGGAGGCCUUAGGAACAGGAGAGCUGACUUUUCUAAAGCAAAUAAGGCAGUGUUCUCCCCAGGGCGCCAGGCUUCCCCAGCUCCAAGUCUGGGCGUCUGAAAUCUGCUGUGUAAUUGGAUCACGCCCGGCCCGUGCUGAGCGCCCAUCUGCGCCCGUCUUGGAAAACACAAGUCUCAGAGAAGGAAAGCAGUUGCCACAGAGCUGUGUGGACCCCCAGAACUCGCAUGCUGGUAGCCUGUGGCGGCAAGGGCAGCGUUUGGAUCUCCUGUGCUUGGUGCCCCCUCAAACCCAGGACAUUCAGUGUAAAUGACUGUGAGCCUCAGGCUGGAAAGAUCGUUUCCCUUCCCAGCUAGAAAGACUCAUCCAUCAGGCUGUGUCAGACGCACCUGAGCCCUCCAGGGUGGUCAAAGAAUCUGCAUCACAGAAGAUAUCCAGUUGGGCAAGACCCCGCCUCCCUGACAGGUGGCACAGGAGGGUGGUUGGAGCAGGAGGGUGGGAAGUGAUACGUGGAUCUUGGAAGAACAGCCUGGCUCUACCACUCGCCGUGUGUCUGUGGGUAUGUGAGUCCCCACUCUGUGCUGUGGCCUCCUCAUGCAGAGAAAGGAGCUGAUAAAAGUCACCGAGUUAAACUUAACACAAAGUGAGUUCAUGUGUGUGAACUCUCUCAAAAACGGUGCUGGCACACAGUAGGUGCUCAAGCAGCGCAAGCAUUUUACACAGUCACUGCCGUGGCUGUUCGGAGUCUUAUUUGCAGUCUGUAUCAUGCUGCUCAGCAGUUAAGCUUUUGUUGGAUCUGAGCUCUGUCUUAACAAAAGGGGACAGGACCCCCUUCCCUCUGCGGUCCUUCUGCCCAGGCAUGUGACGAAGGUGGUGAACUCAGCACUCACUGAACACCCGCCCAUCCCACCCCGGAUGGGGACUCUGGGGUGUGCAUCAGCAGUUUCAAGAAACACAGAAUGACCACCUGACCCAGCAAUUCCACUCCUAGGUAUGUACCCUAAGGAACUGAAAACGAAAACUGGUACAAAAACGUUUAUGUCGACAUUAUUCACAACCAUAAGUUAGAAACAGCCCAAGUGUCCCUGAACUAGUGAAUGGAUAAACUAAUUGUGGUCUAACCACAUGGUGGAACGUUAUUCACCCACAAACAGAAGGUAGUACGGACACAUGCUACCAUACGGAUGAACCUAAAGCACACGAUGCUGAAAGAAGCCAGACAAAAGGUUGCCUAGAGCAUGAUUCUGUGGGUGGAAAAUGCCCGGAACAGGCAGACCCAAGACCCAGAGGGGAUGAGUAUUUGCCUGGGGCUGGGAGGGAGAUGGAGAGUGAGUGCUAAUGGGUUUGAUGGUAAAUUUUAUGGUCUGUG